UAGUCAUAUGCUUGUCUCAAAGAUUAAGCCAUGCAUGUCUAAGUAUAAGCAAUCUAUACGGUGAAACUGCGAAUGGCUCAUUAAAUCAGUUAUCGUUUAUUUGAUAGUACCUUACUACUUGGAUAACCGUGGUAAUUCUAGAGCUAAUACAUGCUAAAAACCCCGACUUCGGAAGGGGUGUAUUUAUUAGAUAAAAAACCAAUGCCCUUCGGGGCUCCUUGGUGAUUCAUAAUAACUUAACGAAUCGCAUGGCCUUGUGCCGGCGAUGGUUCAUUCAAAUUUCUGCCCUAUCAACUUUCGAUUGUAAGGUAGUGGCUUCCAAUGGUUUCAACGGGUAACGGGGAAUUAGGGUUCUAUUCCGGAGAGGGAGCCUGAGAAACGGCUACCACAUCCAAGGAAGGCAGCAGGCGCGCAAAUUACCCAAUCCCGACACGGGGAGGUAGUGACAAUAAAUACUGAUACAGGGCUCUUUUGGGUCUUGUAAUUGGAAUGAGUACAAUUUAAAUCCCUUAACGAGGAACAAUU
rnacentral:rRNA from 1 species